GAUGAACGCUGGCGGCGUGCCUAAUACAUGCAAGUCGAGCGUACAGAUAAGGAGCUUGCUCCUUUGACGUUAGCGGCGGACGGGUGAGUAACACGUGGGUAACCUACCUAUAAGACUGGAAUAACUCCGGGAAACCGGGGCUAAUGCCGGAAACAUUUAGAACCGCAUGGUUCUAAAGUGAAAGAUGGUUUUGCUAUCACUUAUAGAUGGACCCGCGCCGUAUUAGCUAGUUGGUAAGGUAACGGCUUACCAAGGCAACGAUACGUAGCCGACCUGAGAGGGUGAUCGGCCACACUGGAACUGAGACACGGUCCAGACUCCUACGGGAGGCAGCAGUAGGGAAUCUUCCGCAAUGGGCGAAAGCCUGACGGAGCAACGCCGCGUGAGUGAUGAAGGUCUUCGGAUCGUAAAACUCUGUUAUUAGGGAAGAACAAAUGUGUAAGUAACUGUGCACGUCUUGACGGUACCUAAUCAGAAAGCCACGGCUAACUACGUG
rnacentral:rRNA from 1 species